UACGGAGGGGGCAAGCGUUGUUCGGAAUCAUUGGGCGUAAAGCGUAUGUAGGCGGCCAAAUAAGUCAGACGUGCAAGCCCUCGGCUCAACUGAGGAAUUGCGUUUGAAACUGCUUGGCUUGAGUAGAGGAGAGGAAAGCGGAAUUCCCAGUGUAGCGGUGAAAUGCAUUGAUAUUGGGAAGAACAUCGGUGGCGAAGGCGGCUUUCUGGCCUCUAACUGACGCUGAGAUACGAAAGCCAGGGGAGCGAACGGGAUUAGAA
rnacentral:rRNA from 1 species